rnacentral:lncRNA from 10 species
GCAGUGAGGGGAAUCAUUUCCGGGAGAAGAACAACAAAGACCAUCUCAUGCUGUCAAUGCCAGGUGGGGAAACUGAGGCACAUAGAGGCUCAGCAACUUGUCCAACAUCAUGCAGAUAAUGUAAGGCAGAGCUGGGAUUUGAACCCAGUAAGUCGGCUUCAGAGCUCUCUUGUAUAACUGCUUGGCUAUACCACAUCUAACACCAGGGGGUGUUUUGGUCGGCUCCCAUGUUGCUGUCACUAGCUACAGCCCAUGGCAGAGUACGUGUUUUCUGAUGAAGAAGGAAGACAGCAAAAUCAGAAAAAAUACAAAGAGAGAUGCUUCUUCAUCACACCACCCCAAAGCCUUGUCAACUUUCCAGACUUCGUGACCCAUGGACCUAAGAUUCUGCUGAAAGAGUCUUCCACAAGACGUUAAUAUUUUCUGCAGCUGGGAGAAACAGCUCCCACCACUCUUGCAAAUUACUUCCACUCCAAAUGAGAAGCAGUCCUGCAGCCUGGCUGCUUAGAAUAUGUGGGGAUUUGCGAGGGAGGCAUUGCUGGCACUCUUCUGGGGCCAUUACUUCCCUUUGGUGCCCAUCCUGAGUGUCCAAAAUGCAUCGCCUAAUCCCCCUUCACACAUCUUGAUGUGUUCCUGCAUUCCUGGCAGACUACUGCUGAUGCCAAUGAUGGCAGGAGACUCCUGAGCACUCGCUGUGGUGGGCUCACCAUCUCCAUGGUACUGGCAAUGUCUUUGCCUUGCACUGCCCUCACAUCACAAGGCUGCUGCAGCGGGCUCCUGCUCUGGAAUCCCUCAGCCCAUGCAUUGCUGUGGUUGCCCUGCAGGAGACGCUGCCACAGCCUCCCAGGCUGGAGCUCCAUGUGCUGACCUAGCCAGGACCAGGCCCUCAAGGCCCAGGUAAGGAUAUGGUGCCAGCCCUUGGGACUCCUCUGAGAACUCACCAUGUGGAGCAACUGGAACACUCAUAGACCGCCUGGAGGAGUGUGAAAUGCUACAACCACUUCAGAAAAUUACUUGACAGUUACGUAAAAAGUUAAGUGUUUACUUGCCUUAUAACUUAGGUCGAUCUGUCCUAUAAUUAUCCUCCUAGGCAUUUAAUCAACAGCAGUGAAAAGCAAUAUCCGCAUCCAGUAUUGUGCAAAAAUAUUCGUGAGAUUUUAUUCAUAAUAGUUCAAGACUGGAAACACACUAGGUGUCCCUCAACAGAUGAAUGGACAAAUUAUGGUGUAUUCCUGUAAUGGAAUACACCUCACAGCAAUAAGAAGAAAUGAAUGACUGAUGCACCCCACAGGAAUGAAUCUCACAGACAUAAUGCUGAAUGAGAGAACCCAGACACAAAAGAGGUUAUGCUCUAUGAUCCCAUUUAUAUGAAGCUCUAGAAAAUGCAAACUAACCUAUCGUGAUAGAAAUCAGAACAGUGAUUUGCUUCAAAAUGGGAGGUAGAGGAAUUGGGGGCAGAUUCCUGGGAACUUCUCUGUAUCUCAGCCUCCAGCCUCCUCAGCCCUUUGCAGAUACCUUAAGAUGCCGCACACCCUACUUUGUUGGCUCCAUCCAUGGUGAGCUGGGGGAGAGAUUUGGGCAGCGGUAAAAUCUACUACAGACCUAUAAUUCCAGGGACUUUAAAAUUCCAGAGGCUGUGUAACAGGGAAUGUUAUCAAUUCUCAACAGUCAUUUUCUUCUUUUAUUCCUGAUUGUAGCUGGGCACACUGCCAAUCAGCCAAGUGAUUACUUACUCCAGCUUCUCUUGCAGCAAGAUGAGACUGUGUCACUAAGAGAUGGCAUAUGUGACUUUCCAGAAGAGGGAAAGAACUGCUCUUUUUCCUCCUUCCUCCCUCUUGCUGCUUGGAACACAUAUAUAAUGGCUGAGGCUCCAGCAGCCCUCUUGGACCACAAGUUUGAAAGUCACCUGCAGUGAACGCAGAGGGAAUUCCAGAAGGAGCUUUAUGGAACUGUUACAACAGUCCUGACCUGCCUGCCUCUGGAAUUUUGUUGUUGUUGUUUAACAAAAUAAAAUAAAAUUCUGUGUUUUGGCCACUGUGAAUUGGGGUUUUUGGUUACUUGCGGUCACACUCAACCCCAAGUGAUACAGAUUGCAGAGUACGGAAGUUUAAGGGUACAGAUUCAGGAACCAAACUGCUGGGCUCACACUCCAGUUUUGCCACCUGCCAACUAGGUGAGUCUGGGAUACUCACAUGACUUCUUUGCUUCUGUUCCCUCAUGAGGAAAAUGGAGAUAAAAAUGCCUACCUCAUAGGACUGUUGCAAGGAUUAGAAGAGCUGACAGAAGAGAAUAUAAUGCACUUAGAAAAUAGUAAGCAUCAAGUUCUGUGAACAGUUCCUGGGAUAGCAAGUGCUCAAGGGCACUGCCAUUGUGUCUGCUCUGUCAGCCAAUGCCAAAUGCAUCACAGCAGAGAAUCCCAGCCCAUCCAUCUGCCGUGUGAUCAGGACUGAGAUGAGAAGGGAGAGGAGGCUUCAGGGACUGUUGGAAAUUGAGAAGUGCUUUCUUCCAGCCAAGCACAACUUCUGGCAGAUGUUGCUGCAAUGUCCCUGCAUCUCUUCCUAAUGGAGCAUCUGCCCAGUAAGCUUAGAACAUGUCUCUGCAGACGUGUUCAGGAGACUGAGGAGACCUGGGCAUGACGUUACCUACACGGCACAGUGAACCAGCGAGACAGAGGGACACGGGCAGCUAAUUCUGGCGAGUGUUCCUCCUCAGCCAUCAGGCUAAAAAUGUACCCAUUUGUGUAAGACAUAGGCCUUAGUCACUGAAGAAAGUGAAUGUGUGAUGAAGAGAAGCGUCCUACACUUGGCAAACUUGCUGAGAAUUCACACUUUCUGAAUCAAAGUCACUGACAUUUUUGGAAGAUCCAAAUUUAAUCAAGGCAUUUUCAAAAGAUUCAAACUGAAUCAGAAAGACAUGAGGCCCCAUUAGUGACACGAAUCUCGAUGACUAGUUGGAAUUGCAUUUGCUAGGAAGCAUAAUUUUCACUGAAGGUGACAGAAAAUUCAAUUUCGUAGGAUUUGGGAGGGGGGCCUGUUUGAAGUUACAUCAUUAGGAUCAAUUAGAAAAGAACAGUUACGCCUGAGAUACCGUGUAUGUUCCAAUGUGGAGCAUGCAAUUUCUUGGGAAUAGGGUGGGCAGAGGUUUUGAAAGGCAUUGUUUAAGCCUUGAGGAUUGUAGAUUCAAACAAAACCUUAUUUAAAAGCCAAAUAUGCACAAUACGAAAGUGAGCUGCUUUGAGGAGCAGGCCUGGAGGUGGCUCUCUGUCCCCAUCUGGUAUUUGCCAUAUCUGCCUGUUUGUUAAUUAUUCCUCCCCCUGCUAGAGUGUCAGUUUCAUACCAGCAAGACUUUGACUUGUUCACUGAUGUAUCCCCAGCACUUUGAGCAGUGUCAGACACAGGGUGGGCCUUGUAUUUAUUGAAUGAAUGGGCGAAUGGAAAGCCUUCUGGGGUGUGUAAGACACAUCCACUAUUAUUAGCAUUACUAUUAGCAUCUAAGGCCAAAUGUCUUUCCUAUGCUCUAAUAAACUUAUUAAGCAGUUUGCACACAUGAUCUUAUUCAACAACCCUGCACAGUAGGUAUGUAGAUCCCUAGUUUAUAGAUAAGGACACAGAGCCUUAGAGAGGUUCUAUGCCCCAAACCUCAGGACCAGUAAGUGACGAAGCUGGUAUUCAACACAGGCUUGCAUGGCUCAAAGACUGGGAAGUACCUUGCUUCUCUCUCUCUCAAUUAAAUUAGUAUGUAAUUUAUAUACCAUACAAUUCAGUGGUUUUUAGGAUAGUCAUAGAGUUGUGCAACCAUCAUGACAAUUAAUUUUAGAACAUUUUCUUCAUCCUCCACUGACCUCCUUACCAUUAUCAGUCACUCCUCAUCACCCCAGCAAGUUCCCCAAUCCCUAGGUGCUCACUAAACUAAUCUACUUUCUGUCUCUAUAGAUUUGCCUACUCUGGACUUUUUUUUUUUUUGAGACAGAGUUUUGCCCUUGUUGCCCAGGCUGGAGUAUAGUGGCGCGAUCUUGGCUCACUGCAAGCUCCACCUCCUGGGUUCAGGUGAUUCCCCUGCCUCAGCCUCCCAAGUAGCUGGGAUUACAGGCUCCCACCACACCCAGCUAAUUUUUGUAUUUUUAGUAGAGAUGGGGUUUCACAUGUUGGCCAGCCUGGUCUUGAAUUCCUGACCUGAAGUGAUCCACCUGUCUCAGCCUCCCAAAGUGCUGGGAUUACAGGCAUGAGCCGCUGCACCUGGCCUUUUUUUUUUUUUUUUUUUUUUUUUUUGAGACAGGGUUUUGCUCUGUCAUCCAGGCUGGAGUACAGUGGCACCUUCUCUGCUUACUGCAACCUCUGCUUCCUCAGCUCAAGCGAUCCUUUCAUCUCAGCCCCCUGAGUAGCUGGGACUACAGCUGUCUUCCCCCACACCUGGCUGAUUUUUGCAUUUUUUCGUAGUGAUGAGGUUUUGCCAUGUUGCCCAGGCUGGUCUUGAACUCCUGGGCUUAAGUGAUCUGCCCGCUUUGGCCUCCCAAAGCACUGGGAAUAGAGUGGGCAGAGGUUUGAAACACAGUAUUUAAGCAAGUGACGGUGACAGUGAGCCACCUCUCCUGGCCUAUUCUGGACAUUUUAUAUAAAUGGAAACAUACAUACAGACUUUCAUGACUAGCUUCUUUCUCUUAGCAUGUUUUCAAGGUUCAUCUGUGUAGCAUGUAUCAGUGCUUUGUUCCUUUGUAUUGCUGAAUAACAUUCCAUUGUACAGAAUGUUUUUGGUCCCAGAUGGUCCCUUUAAGUUUUUCUCAGGUGAGAAAAUUUCCCCAGCCCCUGAACAGAAACAUGAAUGAUUUGUUUCCCAUGCAGUCUUAUGUCAUAUGGUCAUUUUGGAUUAGUAAUGAGAAUGCAUCCAAUUGAGUGUAUUAAUCAACACUUCGGUCUUGUUUUAAAGGGUAGGUUUAUUAUUAUUUAGGUAUGGUGAAGCCAACAGAUCACAUGACUGUCACUGAAAAGAUAGUUUGUUACUCACAGUUCCCAAGAGGAGGGAGCAUUUCCACUGUCACUCAGGGCCACACAGGGAAGCACCAAGGUGAGUCAGGAGGCAGAGCAAGCAGAGGGGAAUGUGGGCAAGAGGCUUUAUUGUAGUUGAUGCUGGAAGGAAUGGAUGAAGCCAGGUAAGUAGGUUUAGGGUGGGUUGGCUGAAUUGAGUAAUUUCAGGGGGUUCUGGGGGAUAGGGGUUAUCUCUAGUUGCCUAGUACCUGGCCCUUAGGUCAUCAGUGGCCCACAGUGUAAAAGCCUAAUAAAGGAGGUGGCUAGGGAAAUGGGCCAUGGAUGAGUUGGUUUGCAUGUGAAAGGCACACUCAAAGAUGAGUGGAAUCUUUUUUUUUUUUUUUUUUUUUGAGAUGGAGUCUUUCUCUUGCUCUGUCGCCCAGGCUGGAGUCUGGAGUGAGUGGCACGAUCUCGGCUCACUGCAACCUCUGCCUCCCAAGCUCAAGCUAUUCUCGUGCCUCAGCUUCCCGAGUAGCUGGGAUUACAGGUGUGCAACACCACACCUGGUUAAUUUUUGUAUUUUUAGUAGAAAUGGGAUUUUGCCAUGUUGGCCAGGCCUCAAGUGAUCCACCCAUCUCGGCUUCCUAAAGUGCUGGGAUUACAGGUGUCAGGUGUGAGCCACCCAACUUGGCCUUUUUUUUUUUUUUUUUUAACUAUCUCUGGGAAUUGGCUAUCCUUGAGAGGGACAGUCUCUUCAAGGUCAGCAAGACCCCAAGAAGUCAAAGCACCAAAAAUACAGACUAAAAAGACAUGAUUACUCUAUCACUCGAAGGUAAGACUGCUCUCCACGCUAAGGCCUAUAGUUGGCAGCCAUCUUCCUCAAGGAAGGAGGGGUGACUUCUGCUUCUUCCAUACCCACCUCUCCCCCACUUGCAAGCUGUUGCUGGAGACCCCCACCAGGGUUAGGUGGAUGAAGGCAGGAUAGUAGGUGCAGACCUGCAUAGUAGUGUGUAGUACCUGCAGUAGUAUGGUACUGUCAGUGUGCCCCACAAUCCUGGGAUGGCUCUAUUGGCCCACUUUUUAUGACCCUUACUCUCCUAGCUGUCUCCGUGAGCAGAACUCAAUGUGGCCCACAUCUGGUCCGCAAGAGACACAAACAUGCCCCUAAUAUCCCGGGUAAGAGUGAAACUCUAGGCCAUGGUGCCUGAAGAAGCUCUCUGCGUGUUCCCAUUGAGGCCCACUCUUUCCAGGCCGGAAGCAGUGGAGGUACACCCCAUCCAAGCUCUUGAGGCUUCAGCACAGCUUCCUCCAAAGGAUUUUCUCUCAAGUCCUACCUCAUUCCCCACUCCAAUCUAAUUCUACAUCUGGAUCCAGCUGAGGGUUGCUACUUCCUUAGUAGGUCUGUGUAUGGAGAAGCUGUGAGUCAAACCCACUUGGCUGCCUAAGAGUUAUCAUGGUGAAGCAUCCUCUGAAACCGAGGCCUGAGGAGGUCUGUUUUAACAACCUACUAAAUAGGCAUCACAAUCAUGCAACUGCUCAGGGUUUCCUCUUUUCCUACUGCCUGGAUAUUAGGAGCUUCAUGAUUCACAGAGCUGAGGUCCACUUUUCAGAGUAGAAUAGAUUCACAAGCUAGCAAGAUAACAUUUUCCAUGAAUUUGUGGGAAGAUGUUAAUUUCCAGGUUAACACCUUUGCCCAUCCAGAGCUACCUGGAGGGGGUCCUAGCUUCUCAG